UACGGAGGGUGCAAGCGUUAAUCGGAAUUACUGGGCGUAAAGCGCACGCAGGUGGCUGAGUCAGUCGAUUGUGAAAGCCCUGGGCUUAACCUGGGAAUUGCAGUCGAUACUACUCAGCUAGAGUAUGGGAGAGGGCAGUGGAAUUCCCGGUGUAGCGGUGAAAUGCGUAGAUAUCGGGAGGAACAUCAGUGGCGAAGGCGACUUCCUGGCCUGUUCUUGACGCUGAGGCGCGAAAGCUAGGGGAGCAAACGGG
rnacentral:rRNA from 1 species